rnacentral:rRNA from 1 species
UGGGGAAUCUUGCGCAAUGGUCGAAAGACUGACGCAGCGACGCCGCGUGCGGGAGGAAGCCCUUCGGGGUGUAAACCGCUGUUACUCGGGACGAACUUCUCGAUUCAUCGAGAUUGACGGUACCGGGGGAGGAAGCACCGGCUAACUCUGUGCAAGCAGCCGCGGUAAUACAGAGGGUGCGAGCGUUGUCCGGAAUCACUGGGCGUAAAGGGCGCGUAGGCGGCUUUUCAAGCGUGCGGUGAAAGCUCGGGGCUUAACUCCGAGUCUGCCGUGCGAACUGGGAGGCUUGAGUCUGGUAGAGGUCGAUGGAAUUCCGGGUGUAGCGGUGGAAUGCGUAGAGAUCCGGAAGAACACCGGUGGCGAAGGCGGUCGACUGGGCCAGAACUGACGCUGAGGCGCGACAGCGUGGGGAGCAAA